GGUCAAAGCAAGUUCCUUGGCUUCACCUUUAACCGAGGAAAGAUCCAAUGGCAUGCCAACACGUUGCACGUUUUCAAACAAAAGAUACGACGACUGACGAACCGCAAUUGGGGAGUCAGCAUGAGCUAUCAACUGUUUAAACUGCGGCAAUAUAUGCAAGGUUGGAUCAAUUACUUUGGCAUAGCCAACGCUUAUCAAGGUUGCGUCGAUUUAGACCACUGGAUCCGUCGCCGAGUGCGUAUGUGCUACUGGCGUCAGUGGCGAAAACCACGGACUAAGGUGCAGAACCUACUUAAACGAGGUGUCAGGAUCCAAGCUGCCGUUGCUUGUGGACUCACAAGUAAAGGCCCUUGCGUAGUUCGAAAACGCCAGGCAUACAGCAAGCGCUGAGUAACGAGUACCUAGAGAAAGCUGGAUUGUAUUCACUAAGAGAUGGAUGGAUUGCAGUUCAUUAUCCUAGCCAAAUAACAGGUUAGGAGUUCUAAAUGAACCGCCCUGUGCGGAGCCGCAUGCAGGGUGGUGUGGGGGCUGGAGGCUAGAUACCUCCGGCUACCCGAU
rnacentral:autocatalytically_spliced_intron from 1 species